rnacentral:rRNA from 1 species
ACGCUCGACACCUACGGGAGGCAGCAGUGGGGAAUAUUGCACAAUGGGGGAAACCCUGAUGCAGCGACGCCGCGUGAGCGAAGAAGUAUUUCGGUAUGUAAAGCUCUAUCAGCAGGGAAGAAACUGACGGUACCUGACUAAGAAGCACCGGCUAAAUACGUGCCAGCACGCCCCGGUAAUCUGAGCGGCUGGACAAGGC